GCCUAACGGAAUGCAUAUAGGUAGUAUGUAUGUUUAUGGUGGACGUAUAAAAUCAAAAACGUCAUCUUUUAGUGGAGUUUGAGGGAAGAUUGUGGAAUGAAUUCGAAAAGAAUAAUAUUUUUAAAAAAAAAUAUAAGAAUGUGGGAAUUCUCUUCCUAACUUAGCUAAUUUUUAAGUUGAAGGUUGGGUAACAUCGUAACGUAGGUACUUAGGUAUCUGUUGGUACGGUAAUGUAUGGUUGAAGUAUCGCAGGUAGGUAUGUGCAUAUUAAAUGAGACUAUAAAUUUUUAAUCGUGUGUAUUAUUUGUUACAGGUACGAAGAUCAAGAAUUUCCGGAUGAAGAAGUGUUGAAAAAGAGAAGACCUAUCAAGUGCAAUAGCCAGCGAAUAGCGGUCUUCAAUUCCGAGAAGCGCGAUACUGACGAAGCCAAAAAAGAAAAAAUUAUCGCGGAUAUGGCGAGACGCGAUGACGUGCCAUAUUCUAACGGUACGGAUGGUGUCAUCUGCUUUGUGGCUGGAGGCAGGACCUCUCUGCACCACAGUUGAAACUACGUAGAUGGCAGCUAUGCGUCGUAUAUCGGUAAUUUGAAUUUCUUUACCUAAAUAGGAUUUUAUUAGCGUAUGGUAUUUUUAAGUUUUUAUGUAAAUAAAUUGAUACUUGAACUAUUGUAUCCCAUUUUUGGUU